rnacentral:rRNA from 1 species
UUCCGGUUGAUCCUGCCGGAGGCUACUGCUAUCGGGGUUCGAUUAAGCCAUGCGAGUUAAAUGUUCUUCGUGAACAUAGCGAACUGCUCAGUAACACGUGGAUAACCUACCCUUAGGACCGGAAUAACCCCGGGAAACUGGGGAUAAUACCGGAUAAGCCAUAGACGCUGGAAUGCCCUAUGGUUCAAAGCUCCGGCGCCUAAGGAUGGAUCUGCGGUCUAUCAGGUAGUAGUGGGUGUAACGUACCUACUAGCCGACGACGGAUACGGGUUGUAAGAGCAAGAGCCCGGAGAUGGAUUCUGAGACACGAAUCCAGGCCCUACGGGGUGCAGCAGGCGCGAAACCUUUACAAUGUGCGAAAGCAUGAUAAGGGAACUCCGAGUGCCAGUAUCUAAUACUGGCUGUCCUUGUGCCUAAAACGCACAAGAUAGCAAGGGCCGGGUAAGACCGGUGCCAGCCGCCGCGGUAACACCGGCGGCCCGAGUGGUAGCCGCUAUUAUUGGGUCUAAAGGGUCCGUAGCCGGUUCGAUAAGUCCUCUGGGAAAUCUGGUUGCUUAACAAUCAGACUGCCAAGGGAUACUGUCGAACUUGAGACCGGGAGAGGUAAGAGGUACUUUAGGGGUAGGAGUGAAAUCUUGUAAUCCCUGGGGGACCAUCUGUGGCGAAGGCGUCUUACCAGAACGGGUCUGACGGUGAGGGACGAAAGCUGGGGGCGCAAACCGGAUUAGAUACCCGGGUAGUCCCAGCCGUAAACGAUGCUCGCUAUGUGUCAGGUACGGUGUGACCGUAUCUGGUGCCGUAGGGAAGCCGUGAAGCGAGCCACCUGGGAAGUACGGUCGCAAGACUGAAACUUAAAGGAAUUGGCGGGGGAGCACUACAACGGGUGGAGCCUGCGGUUUAAUUGGAUUCAACGCCGGG